rnacentral:rRNA from 1 species
GACGAACGCUGGCGGCGUGCUUAACACAUGCGAGUCGAACGGAAAGGCCCUGCUUUUGUGGGGUGCUCGAGUGGCGAACGGGUGAGUAACACGUGAGUAACCUGCCCUUGACUUUGGGAUAACUUCAGGAAACUGGGGCUAAUACCGGAUAGGAGCUCCUGCUGCAUGGUGGGGGUUGGAAAGUUUCGGCGGUUGGGGAUGGACUCGCGGCUUAUCAGCUUGUUGGUGGGGUAGUGGCUUACCAAGGCUUUGACGGGUAGCCGGCCUGGGAGGGUGACCGGCCACAUUGGGACUAAGAUACGGCCCAGACUCCUACGGGAGGCAGCAGUGGGGAAUAUUGCACAAUGGGCGGAAGCCUGAUGCAGCAACGCCGCGUGCGGGAUGACGGCCUUCGGGUUGUAAACCGCUUUCGCCUGUGACGAAGCGUGAGUGACGGUAAUGGGUAAAGAAGCACCGGCUAACUACGUG